CAGCCGCCACGGGAAUACGAAGGGGGCUAGCGUUGUUCGGAAUCACUGGGCGUAAAGGGUGCGUAGGCGGAUUCUUAAGUCAGGGGUGAAAUCCCGAGGCUCAACCUCGGAACUGCCUUUGAUACUGGGGAUCUUGAGUCCGGAAGAGGUGAGUGGAACUGCGAGUGUAGAGGUGAAAUUCGUAGAUAUUCGCAAGAACACCAGUGGCGAAGGCGGCUCACUGGUCCGGAACUGACGCUGAGGCACGACAGCGUGGGGAGCAAACAGGAUUAGAUACCCCCGUAGUCCCUGUCUCUUAUAC
rnacentral:rRNA from 1 species